rnacentral:tRNA from 7 species
CUCCCGGUGGCCAAGCUGGUUUAAGGCGCGAGACUGUAAAUCUUGAGAUCGGGCGUUCGACUCGCCCCCGGGAGA